GACGAACGCUGGCGGCGUGCUUAACACAUGCAAGUCGAACGGAAAGGCCCUGCUUUUGUGGGGUGCUCGAGUGGUGAACGGGUGAGUAACACGUGAGUAACCUGCCCUUGACUUUGGGAUAACUUCAGGAAACUGGGGCUAAUACCGGAUAGGAGCUCCUGCUGCAUGGUGGGGGUUGGAAAGUUUCGGCGGUUGGGGAUGGACUCGCGGCUUAUCAGCUUGUUGGUGGGGUAGUGGCUUACCAAGGCUUUGACGGGUAGCCGGCCUGAGAGGGUGACCGGCCACAUUGGGACUGAGAUACGGCCCAGACUCCUACGGGAGGCAGCAGUGGGGAAUAUUGCACAAUGGGCGGAAGCCUGAUGCAGCAACGCCGCGUGCGGGAUGACGGCCUUCGGGUUGUAAACCGCUUUCGCCUGUGACGAACCGUGAGUGACGGUAAUGGGUAAAGAAGCACCGGCUAACUACGUG
rnacentral:rRNA from 1 species